CAGGUGGAGUGGCUAUGGCGCGAGCGACUCCUCGAUUUCCCGUGAGGAUUUCUUGCGCUCCUGGUUUGGGAUCGAUCAAGAAAUUUGUGGCUCCGGUACAAAGAUCUCACCUUCUUUCCGGGACCGAACAAGCAAGAAAUUCCUUUCUGACGAUCUCCAGGACCUUCGAUCGGGAGCCUUCUAGCAAGAAAUUCCAUAGCAGUCCUUCCUUGCGAGGUUAAAUUUCUCUCCAGGACCUUCGAUCGAGAGCCUUCUUUCCAGGCAAGCAAGAAAUUCCAUAGCAUUCCUUCCGGACGAUCUCUACCGAGAGCCUUCUUUCCGGGACUUUCGAUCGAUGCUAUCCGGCCCUGGAUGAUCUUCGGUGGCCCGGGUGAGUGCUCUCGUUCCCUCGCAAGAGCUGGAGCUGCUGCUCCAGCCUCUUUACUCG